UACGAAGGGGGCUAGCGUUGCUCGGAAUCACUGGGCGUAAAGCGCACGUAGGCGGCUUUUUAAGUCAGGGGUGAAAUCCUGGAGCUCAACUCCAGAACUGCCUUUGAUACUGAGAAGCUUGAGUCCGGGAGAGGGUAGUGGAAUUCCCGGUGUAGUGGUGAAAUGCGUAGAUAUCGGGAGGAACACCAGUGGCGAAGGCGACUACCUGGCCUGUUCUUGACGCUGAGGCGCGAAAGCUAGGGGAGCAAACGGG
rnacentral:rRNA from 1 species